UAAAUACUCCAGAUCCGAAAAAAUCACUUCUUUAAGCUUACUGAUUGCUAAUUUCGUUGUUUAGGGUACCGAAAGGGACUAUGAACGAGCGGCGGAAGCAUACAUGCAUGCAAAGUCUCAAUCCAACGCACAAGCCAUGUUCAACCUCGGUUACAUGCACGAGCAUGGGCAAGGUCUUCCGCUCGAUCUCCAUCUUGCUAAGCGUUACUACGAUCAAGCAUUAGAAGUCGAUCCGGCUGCUAAGUUACCCGUGACGCUCGCUCUGGCUAGCUUGUGGGUUCGAAAGAACCAUGCCGAUAGUUUCAUGGUUAGUUGUUGCGUCGUUUAGUGAGCUUUCUUCAUUCUCGUCAGCUGCUAUAGCCUAUAUGUGCUUAUCCGAAUUGUUUGUUGUUUAUGUUGUCCCAAUGUAGGUCGACAUGAUCGAUUCGUUGCCCGAAGUGUUCCCGAAAGUCGAAGCCUGGGUCGAAAACGUGAUCAUGGAAGAAGGAAACGCCACGAUAUUGACUCUCUUCGUCUGUCUUCUCACCGUCCUCUACCUUCGUGAACGACAACGCAGAAACGUUGCCGCUGCAGCUGGCGCCGGUGACGGCGCUGUACCGCCGCACCAACCGGUCGAGCCGGAUAGGAUUCACAACGGAGCGGAGGAGAACAAGGAAGCUCUGAGGAGGUUUAAAGGAGAGGAGGAUGAGGAUUUCCAGAUUCUGGAGUAUCAGGCUCAGAAGGGGAAUGCUGCAGCUAUGUACAAGAUUGGUCUGUUUUACUACUUUGGGUUGAGAGGAUUGAGGCGUGACUAUGUCAAGGCAUUGACUUGGUUCUCUAAGGCCGUGGAGAAAGGGGAGCCUAGAUCAAUGGAGCUUCUUGGUGAGAUUUACGCCCGGGGAGCUGGUGUUGAGAGGAACUAUACUAAAGCACUGAAAUGGCUUACUCUUGCUUCCAGACAGCAGCUUUACUCUGCGUAUAAUGGCAUGGGGUAUCUCUAUGUUAAAGGGUAUGGAGUGGACAAGAAGAACUACACCAAAGUAUGUUUACUUUCAAAAAAAAUUCAAGAUUUUGAAAAUUGAUAUAUUGGUCUUUUGUUACUUCUGGUUUGCUCACCUUGUUUUAUGAACUGCAUUUCUCGAGCUUCGAACAUGAUUCGCCAUGGUUUCUCUAUUGCGAGCUGGUGAUUCUACCAUUAGCUCCUUGUUUGAAGUUUACUCGGUGUCUAUGCCUUUAAUUUGAUGAUGUUUGCCCAACCUAUCACCUCGGUUCAGUUAUCUCUACGAUGUUCUCAUUGAGGUGAAUGUAUAUGUGACAGGCGAAAGAGUACUUUGAGAAGGCUGAGGACAAUGAUGAACCAGGUGGCCAUUAUAACCUAGGAGUUAUGUACCUCAAAGGAAUUGGCGUAAAGAGAGACAUAAGGCUGGCUUGUCAGUACUUCAUAGUUGCUGCUAAUGCUGGUCAACCCAAGGCGUUUUAUCAGCUGGCCAAGAUGUUUCAUACUGGUGUUGGACUCAAGAAGAACCUGGCCAUGGUACGUAAUUUUUUAACCUUCUUUGGUAUCUUGGAUUUUGACUGCGUGAAGAUAUUCCAUCGUAAAUAGAAACAGAGGGUGCAUCUUGUUAGGAAUAGGAACCGUGCGCUAAACAUUGUUUGCUUUUAGGUUUUGUUUCAGUAUCGUGUAGGUUAGUUUUCAGAAUUUACAUCUGUGUAUGUGUGAACCAUUGGUUUUGUUAAAUCCACCUUGGCGAGCAUCAGAGGAUUUGCUUAGGAAUUGGUAAUUGUUUAUAACUUGCAUACCGUGACAAUAGGUUAAAUUGUCGCGAAUCAUUCUAGUUAAUUUUAGUAGUGAAUUGCAACAAAAAUUUGGCUGAUCAGGGUACACGUUUCCUGAUCAAAUGGCUUCCUUGAUUUUGAUGACUGCUUGAGGCCAUUCCAUCACAACAGAGGUGCAAAUUGUUUGCUGAUGGAUCUGUAUUUGUGCACAGGCUACUGCGUUAUAUAAACUGGUAGCAGAAAGAGGACCAUGGAGUUCCUUGUCCAGAUGGGCACUAGAAUCCUACCUUAAAGGCGACAUAGGCAAGGCGUUCCUAUUAUAUUCCAGAAUGGCCGAGAUGGGGUAUGAGAUAGCCCAAAGUAACGCCGCAUGGAUCCUCGACAAAUACGGAGAAAGAAGCAUGUGCGUAGGUGAAUCCGGGUUCUGUACCGAUGCAGAAAGGCAUCAGCGAGCACACUCGUUGUGGUGGCAAGCUUCAGAGCAGGGCAACGAACACGCUGCGUUACUCAUCGGUGAUGCAUAUUACUACGGUCGGGUAUGCAUUAAAUACUCCAGAUCCGAAAAAAUCACUUCUUUAAGCUUACUGAUUGCUAAUUUCGUUGUUUAGGGUACCGAAAGGGACUAUGAACGAGCGGCGGAAGCAUACAUGCAUGCAAAGUCUCAAUCCAACGCACAAGCCAUGUUCAACCUCGGUUACAUGCACGAGCAUGGGCAAGGUCUUCCGCUCGAUCUCCAUCUUGCUAAGCGUUACUACGAUCAAGCAUUAGAAGUCGAUCCGGCUGCUAAGUUACCCGUGACGCUCGCUCUGGCUAGCUUGUGGGUUCGAAAGAACCAUGC
rnacentral:lncRNA from 1 species